rnacentral:rRNA from 1 species
CCUACGGGUAGCAGCAGUGGGGGAUAUUGCACAAUGGGGGCAACCCUGAUGCAGCGACGCCGCGUGAGCGAUGGAGUACUUCGGUAUGUAAAGCUCUGUCAGCAGGGAAGAGAAUGACGGUACCUGACCAAGAAGCCCCGGCUAAAUACGUGCCAGCAGCCGCGGGAAUACGUAUGGGGCAAGCGUUAUCCGGAUGUACUGGGUGUUAAGGGAGCGUAGGAUGCGGGGCAAGCCUGGUGUGAAAGCCCGGGGGUCAACCCCGGGACUGCAUAGGGAACUGCGCCGCUCGAGUGCCGGAGGGGCAGGCGGAAUUCCGAGUGUAGCGGUGGAAUGCGUAGAUAUU